rnacentral:rRNA from 1 species
UCCCAGCGGUCCAAGUCGCAACCACAAUUAUUGGGUCUAAAACAUCCGUAGCUUGCUUGAUAAGUCUCUUGGGAAAUCCGGCCUCUUAAGGGUCGAAGAGCGAGAGAUACUGUCGGGCUAGAGACCGGGAGAGGUAAGAAGUACGGUCGGGGUACCGGUAAAAUGGGUUGAUCCCGUCUGGACUAACAACAGCGAAGGCAUCUUACCAGCACGGAUCUGACAGUAAGGGAUGAAGGCUAGGGGCGCAAAA